rnacentral:rRNA from 1 species
ACGAACGCUGGCGGCAGGCUUAACACAUGCAAGUCGAACGCUCUAGCAAUAGAGAGUGGCGCACGGGUGAGUAACGCGUGGGAAUGUACCGUUUAGUACGGAAUAGCUCCGGGAAACUGGAAUUAAUACCGUAUACGCCCUUCGGGGGAAAGAUUUAUCGCUAAACGAUCAGCCCGCGUGAGAUUAGGUAGUUGGUGGGGUAAUGGCCUACCAAGCCUACGAUCUCUAGCUGGUCUGAGAGGAUGAUCAGCCACACUGGAACUGAGACACGGUCCAGACUCCUACGGGAGGCAGCAGUGGGGAAUAUUGGACAAUGGGCGCAAGCCUGAUCCAGCCAUGCCGCGUGAGUGAUGAAGGCCUUAGGGUUGUAAAGCUCUUUUACCGAUGAAGAUAAUGACGGUAGUCGGAGAAAAAGCCCCGGCUAACUUCGU